CGUACACUCCUGCGGGAGGCAGCAGUGGGGAAUAUUGGACAAUGGGCGCAAGCCUGAUCCAGCCAUGCCGCGUGAGUGAUGAAGGCCCUAGGGUUGUAAAGCUCUUUCACCGGUGAAGAUAAUGACGGUAACCGGAGAAGAAGCCCCGGCUAACUUCGUGCCAGCAGCCGCGGUAAUACGAAGGGGGCUAGCGUUGUUCGGAUUUACUGGGCGUAAAGCGCACGUAGGCGGACUAUUAAGUCAGGGGUGAAAUCCCGGGGCUCAACCCCGGAACUGCAUUUGAUACUGGUAGUCUUGAGUUCGAGAGAGGUGAGUGGAAUUCCGAGUGUAGAGGUGAAAUUCGUAGAUAUUCGGAGGAACACCAGUGGCGAAGGCGGCUCACUGGCUCGAUACUGACGCUGAGGUGCGAAAGCGUGGGGAGCAAACAGGAUUAGAAACCCCAGUAGUCCCAUG
rnacentral:rRNA from 1 species